AAGUCCAUGAUGAGGGACCUUCCUCAAUAGUUCCUUGUAGUGCUCCCAUGACUCAUAUAAUGAUUCCCCAUCCUACUGAGUGAAAGUUGUGAUGUUAUUCCGCAUCU
rfam:Nelumbo nucifera unplaced genomic scaffold scaffold00100, whole genome shotgun sequence